CAGCAGAGUAUAUCAAAUCCAAAGGAGGAAAUACUGGUGGGGACAUUGACAAUAUAUUGAAUAAAAAAGAUAAAAGGGAAAGUAAAUCGGCAAAAUCUAGGAAGAGCAAUUUGGAAAGUCAUAAAGAGGAAGAAGAAAACGCAGAACAGGACAAAAAAUCAGAGAAACAGGAGGAGACUGACAAGGAAGAGAAACCAAAGUCUAAAAAGGAACUAGAAAAAGAGAAAAAGGAAGCUGAAAAAGCAAAAAAGGAAGAAGAGAAGAAGAAGAAAGAAGAGGAAUUAAAAACCAAAAAAGAGGAAGAACAGAAGAAAAAGGAAGAAGAGAAAAAGCAAAAAGAAGAAGAGAAAAAGAAAAAGGAGGAAGAAAAGAAACAAAAAGAGGAAGAGAAAAAGCAGAAGGAAGAGGAAAAAAAACAGAAGGAACAAGAAAGUAAAACAUCUCCUGAAGAGACUACUGAUAAAAAGGAAGAAGCUGUAGUUGCUGCUGCUGCUGCUGUUGUUGCUGACGAAAAAGAGAAGAAGGAAGAAGACAAAAAAGGAAAGAAAGACAGUAGUAAAGAAGAUAAGAACAGCAAAGAAGGAAAGGGAAGCAAAGAAGUAAAGGACAACAACGAAAAAGAACAGGAGAAGAAAAAGAAAGAGAAAGAACAAAAAGACCCAGAGAAGGAGGACCAGUUGGAAAGUGAUGAGGAGGUGGUUGUAGUGAAAGGCAAGAAAGUUGUUAGAAAGAAAAAAGGAUACGUGAAAGAUAAAGAAGCUGAAAAAGCCAGAAAAGAAGCCGAAGAGGCAAAGAAAGAUGCAGUAAAGGCAAACCAAGAGGCGGAAAAAGCAAAGGCUAAUGCUGAAAAGGCAAAACUAGAAAAGGAACAACAAGAUCAAAAGAAGAAGAAAUCAGCAAAAG
rnacentral:misc_RNA from 1 species